CUUAAUGAACAAGAAAACUAAGCGUACUUUUACCCCUGAGUUCAGGCUGGAAUGUGCACAGCUGAUUGUUGAUAAGGGCUACUCAUAUCGACAAGCCAGCGAAGCGAUGAAUGUCGGUUCUAC
rfam:Salmonella enterica subsp. arizonae serovar 62:z4,z23:--, complete genome.